GCCUGCCAGUGACUAAGUUCAACGGCCGCGGUAUCCUAACCGUGCGAAGGUAGCGUAAUCACUUGUUCUUUAAAUGAGGACUAGUAUGAAUGGCACCACGAGGGUUGUACUGUCUCCUUUUCUAAUCAAUGAAACUGAUCUCCCCGUGAAGAAGCGGGGAUAUAAAUAUAAGACGAGAAGACCCUAUGGAGCUUUAAAUUAUAUAACACUGACUUAUUAAUAACAAGGUUUCAGAACAAUAAAAACUAUUUUAGCCAGAAUGAUUAUAAAUUUUAGGUUGGGGUGACCGCGGAGAAAAAACUAUCCUCCACAUUGAAAGGAGCUACUCCUGAACAAAAAGCUACAACUUUAAGCACCAAUAAAUUGACAUUAAUUGACCCAAUAUAUUGAUCAACGAACCAAGUUACCCUAGGGAUAACAGCGCAAUCCAUCUUAAGAGCUCCUAUCGACAGGUGGGUUUACGACCUCGAUGUUGGAUCAGGGCAUCCUAGUGGUGCAGCCGCUACUAAAGGUUCGUUUGUUCAACGAUUAAAGCCCUACGUGAUCU
rnacentral:rRNA from 1 species